rnacentral:rRNA from 1 species
UACGAAGGGGGCUAGCGUUGUUCGGAAUCACUGGGCGUAAAGCGUAUGUAGGCGGAUAGCUAAGUCAGGGGUGAAAGCCCGAGGCUCAACCUCGGAACUGCCUUUGAUACUGGCUGUCUUGAGUCCGGGAGAGGUGAGUGGAACUCCUAGUGUAGAGGUGAAAUUCGUAGAUAUUAGGAAGAACACCAGUGGCGAAGGCGGCUCACUGGCCCGGAACUGACGCUGAAAUACGAAAGCGUGGGGAGCAAACAGG